rnacentral:rRNA from 1 species
GACGAACGCUGGCGGCGUGCUUAACACAUGCAAGUCGAACGAUGAAGCCGGAGCUUGCUCUGGUGAAUUAGUGGCGAACGGGUGAGUAACACGCGAGUAACCUGCCCUUGACUCUGGGAUAACUGCUAGAAAUGGUAGCUAAUACCGGAUACGACCCUCGGAGGCAUCUCCAGGGGGUGGAAAGAAUUUCGGUCAAGGAUGGACUCGCGGCCUAUCAGCUAGUUGGUGAGGUAAUGGCUCACCAAGGCGACGACGGGUAGCCGGCCUGAAAGGGUGACCGGCCACACUGGGACUGAGACACGGCCCAGACUCCUACGGGAGGCAGCAGUGUGGAAUAUUGCACAAUGGGCGCAAGCCUGAUGCAGCAACGCCGCGUGAGGGAUGACGGCCUUCGGGUUGUAAACCUCUUUAGUAGGGAAGAAGCGAAAGUGACGGUACCUGCAGAAAAAGCACCGGCUAACUACGUGCCAGCAGCCGCAGUAA